UCUCUACCGUUCUCUCUACCGCUGUGGUUUGGAUAGGCGCGGCCAUGGGUUAGGCAAGGGAGAGCACUGGAGAACGCGGCAAUCUACUGGACCUCGUCAUGUACGGCAGCUAGCUGUUGUGGCGACGGGUCUGGAGGUUGGUGGCGCGGAGGAGGCGGUGACGCAUCUGACGGAGGGCACACUGGUUCGCUGAGUUCCCGGAUGAACUCGUGCAUGCUGAUCUUCCAAGCCGGUUGUACCAAAUCGAGUGGGCUGCAAGUGCGUUGUCUUGGAGGCCAUUCCUGACCGAGGCAUGGUCCGCGCGGUCAAGCUACUGCUGUUGCGCCGGUCACCAGGGAGACCGCAUCUUGCGUCGCUAAUCUGGAAACGCAGAUGCCGGUCGCCGGGGAGGUCACGGGUGCGGGGACAGAGAACUUUGGCGUCGCGUUGAAAGGCAUGUUGUUACUUUUUCGUCCCAGGCUAAGGAAGAGCAACAGGACGAAGGGAGGAAGACAAGAAAAUUAUGACAAUUUAGUUCAUGGUCUAGGAGCAAGGAAAGUACACAUCCAUCUUUGUGAUAUUGAUAGGCAUAAUACUACAUACAGACUCUCUCAAUUGUGUAGAUAGGUCAUCAAGUAACGGUUAGCAGUUCAUGCUUCUGCUUCACCUUUUAGUUAAUUAUCCGCUUUUAAGUAUUUGUUGUUGAAGUGAGCAUCAAAUUGCAGGAAUUUUGUAAUUCAUCAGUAGAAUUAUCCGCUUCAUUCGCUUUUGUUAUAACGACAGGCAUUUUGUAACAUCUUGCCGAAGUGCGCAUUUUGUAGAGAUUAUCCGUUUUUAAGUAUUUUAUUUAAUGUGUCAAUCUCCGGUUGUAAUCCUAGAAGGCAGUAAAUGUGCACUUGUGUUUUGCUAAUGCAACAGAGUAUCUAUGAGAUUAGUAAUUCUCUGUAUAACAUGGAAAUUCUUCAGAACUGUAAUUUUGAAUGAAGCUAUUUUCUGAUAUUUGAAUCUUGCCAAAAAUGAACAUGAGUGAUAUAACCCAUAUAACAAAACAGAUGAUAGUUGUCUUUGCAAGUUGCACUGCAAAGAUUGCUUUUUAGUGAAGUUAUCCUUGGCGGUGUUAGAUAAGUAUUAACGUGACUGUUUACUUGGUUAAGAUUACAUUCACGUUAUUUCUUCUAACCUUUUAAUCUCUAUACACAGCUAGCUACAGCUUGGGACAACUGCUAGAAGAAUGAACGGAUGAUUCCUCUACAGCAACGCCCGAGGUCAGGUUCUAUGCGAGUGCAGUAGUGCUGGCGGUGUCGGCCAUGGUUGUAGCAUGUGCACUUGCCGAGGGUCGAUGAGGCUUUGAUGAUGGCGCUAGCAAAGAAGGCAUGGAGCAAAUGGAGACGGGGUUCCUUUGUGACAACGUAUGGGAGGCUGAUGGGUUCCCUUGGAAGUUGGAACAAUGCGAUGUUGCCGAGACAGCACACUGGGUUCCAAUUCCAGUUGGACGAAUAGUAUGUACGUGAUUCAUUCACUCUUUUGAUCAUUCCUUAUUGAACGUACUGCAGUUGGAGGAUAUACCAAUAUAAUGGAUGGAUCUACUAAAUAUUAACAUGCCAAGUACGACAGUACAUGCCAACUAACUGAGCUAUAUAUGGUGUGACACUGACGAUCUACGCGCUUCCUCCCUAAGUGUUGUUUGCUGACUGCCGGGCCUUCCAUGGGAUGUUGUGCGCGGAUAAUUUUGUGGGAAGUCUUACCGUCCCUAUUUCAUAGAAAAAAAUCCAGGUUGCUGAGUUUUGGCCUUAAGGUGCAGCAUUGAUAAGGAAAUUAUGCAUCUUUUGAGGUUACUGAUAUUUAACCAUCUCAUGUCUAUCAAUAGUGCAUACAUUAUGGUUGAUAAAAAUAUCUUGCCAUGUCAAAUGCAUAAUGUUGUAAUUCCUCCAUUCCAUAAUGUAGUGCACCCACGCUUUUUGAGAUAAAGUUUGACCAUAAAUUUAACUAACAUGGUUAAAUUUAUGGUCAAACUUAAAUCUCGAAAAGCGCUGACGCACUACAUUACGGAAUGGAGGGAGUAUAUGAUAAGUUUGGGUGUAGCUCUGUGUUAGUGCCAGUUGCUUAUUAUGCGCUUAACCUAUUGUAUCUUUUUACCACACAGAUUAAUUAAUUCAACCUGAGGAUAGACAUCCUCACUUCAGUUCAAAAUAAUCCAGAAGAAGUGUGAUUUCUAUUCCAUAUUCAUUGACUUUUCUAAGACCUAUUAGUAAAUUCAUUAGCUUCUUUAAUCCAGUGAUUCUGGGUAAACCGGCGAAGAAUAUGAAUAUUACGUAUGUAUAUUACCCCUUCUUCUAUCAUUUUUAUUAUUUUCAGAAUAUUCAUAAUGAAUGUUUUGAAUGGGUUAUAUAUAACGACACUGAAUGAGGGUCUAGAGGCUAAAUUAUUGUUCAUCAAUUUCGAAAUUGCCCGGGUUGUAUAAGGAACCAUGCUGGGUAAGUUUACAUCCUAAUACUAUGCAAUAUUAAAUGACCCAUCACCUAAUAAAUACAUCAGAUGUGGUAUUUUAUAUAUAUGACUAGAGAGUUAUGUCCCAGACAAAUAGUGAAACAGAAUGCGUGCAUCAUUUAUAUUGGCAGAAAAAUGCAGAGCAUUUCAUUUGGCAUAGAAAAAGUCAACAACAAGUUGGGGAUUCUUCUUACUGAAAAAUAGAAAUAAAAGCAAGUUUGGGAUUCUUCUUUCUGAAAAAUAAAAAUAAAAGCAAGUUGGGGAGAGAGAGGGUCAAAUGGUUUCAUGUGGUUCCAGUAGUCGCCCGGACUGAUGGAAUUAGGGUUUUCGGGUAUAGGCAUCGUAGUGGCGGUGACGUCCACACUGAUCUUUUCGUGAACUUUUGCUGACGAUAAUCUUGGAAAAUCAAUAUUUUUUAGAUUUUUAAAUUCGUAAAUUAUGAUAUAUACAUGGUUGCAAUUCUCGUUAUUUUGAUACCCAUUAUUUGGUCCCACACCUGAAUAGAUGAGCGGGGGGUUGCAUGUAUGGACCUACUAAAUAUGAAAUUCUAAAUUGCCUUUGGAAAAUAUGUAUGCCAAAUUUAUAAUAUUGGGUGUUCGAAGAACCUCUAUUAUAUUAUAAGGGUGUCAAUUUUUGGUUCCCAUUGGAACGCAUGGGCGCUCUACUAGAAAAUGUGACAAAUUACGUUUCAUUAGAGAUGGCUUUGCAGCGAAUUGCAUAAACGAGGAGUUCAUAAUUUUUUCAUCAAGUUGUACAAUUUUUUUGUUAGGAUAGAAGGGUAAAUGCAUUGGUUGGUUGUUUCAAGAGUUAAUAACGAACACGGUGGUGUAUCUAUUGCAUGCCCAACGGUUGAUAUUGUAUUUUGUUUCAUGGUAAUGCACGAUAUUCAAUAGUAUGAUACAAUGUGGCAAUGACUCAGGAGAGAUCAGAUCUGCCUUCUUGGCUCGGGGGUGGGGGGUGUCAUGAGCGGCGCAUGCCUUCUCCCCCUUUAUAGCAGUGGCGGAUCGACACGAGCCCGAGUGGAGGGGAUUAGGGCGGAGAGCGGGGCGGUUGGCAGGGGACCUUUUGGCGGUCCAUGGGGAAGUAUGGUGUG